GAAAAAACAAAAUACCUGUGGUCAUUGACCAACGGAUUAAGUACUCUUAAAAAAUACUAUAAAUUAAGUACCAUUAUGAUGUUGCUCACUUUUUCAUAUUUAGUUUACUACAAAUCCAUUUAAAAGUACCCCCAUUUUUUAAUUCAUAAAUUAUUUUUUAAAACGUUUUUAAAUCGUUCUCCAUUAUAAAAUAUAAAUAAUUGUUACCAUUUUCUCUUUUAUUUAAUGUUAUAUCUAAAUCACGAAAUAUCUAACCUAUCAUCAUUUAUUUCAGAUAUUUUAUCAAUAAAUAAAAGAUGAAUUGUUAGUAUGAGAACAAUAUUACUGUUGUCAAAAGUUAUAUUGUCAAAUGUGAGGAAGCCAACAAAUUUCCUUAUUUUUGCUAUAAAAUUAAUCGAAUAUUGAGAUAAGAGUAAAAUAUAAAAUAUGAUGAUUUAUUUCAUCUCUUAAAUGUACUCAACCAACUUUCUCAAGUAGUGUGCAUAAAAAAAAAAAAAAAUGGCGUUCAUCAAAUGUUUGUUGUUUGAAUAUAACACACAAAAAUUAUCAAUUUAUUUUUAUUAAAUAUUAAUAUCUUUACUUUUGAUAUCUUUAGAAAAUAAUAUUUCUUUUAGACUCAAUUAUAAGAAAAAAAUUGUAUCAAACAUAAACAAAUAUCCAACUUAUGUUGCUAUAUUUAAUAUUGUUAUUCCAAAAAUAUUGUUAGUAUGUGUUUAGAUGAGAUAAUAUUUUGAGGGAAAGUAAAUUUUUUAGGAAAUUCAAAUACUUCAAUGUAUAUUAUGGAUGAUAAAUUUUAAGAAUUUUAAAAUGAAAGAAUUUUAUGAGGUAUUUUGUUAAAAAUAAAUUUCAAAUAUCACCUAAAAUCUAAAAAUUUCAAAAUUCCACAUCAAAUGGUUCUAUAAUUUUUAAAAAUUUAUAAUUUUGAUCCUAUAUGAUUUAAAUUUGUAUAUUAAUCCUUAUAUUUUUUUUGCAUAUGGGUCCCUAAAAAUUGGCAAAAUAGUUCCCAAAUUUUUCAAAUAUUUCAGUUUUUGUCCAAGUUUAAUUUUAAUUUUAAUUUUACAUAAAAACUUUUAAAAUUUAGAAAAAUGGUUAUAUUUUAAAAGAAUAAUUCAUUUAUCCAAAUAAUCAAAUUUAUAAAUUAAAGAAAUUCAAUUAAAGCAUUUGAAUUGUCUAAAAUCAUAAUUUUUCUAGAAUUUUCAAUUAUCUCAUCCAAACACAAUAAAUUUUUUUUUUAAGUUGUGAGGAUAUAAAAAUUAUAAUUAUACAUAAAAAAAACAAUUAUAAUUGGGGGUAAUCAAGUUAGUAAAUUUUUUAUCGUAAAAAAAAGUUAGUAAAUUUUUUUCUUUUUUUUUAAAUCAAGAAAAUCAAAUGUUAACUAUUCUUUUUUUUUUUACAAUUUUUAAUUAUUUUCUUUAAUAAAUAUAAAAAUAAGUAUUUUGCUUACAAAUAAGUUCAAAGAAAGUAUUAGUUAUUAAUUAUAGGACAUAAUUGAAUAAAAUAUUCAAUCUGCCCUCUGAAUAUAAGUAACAAGCAAAAAUUAUUUUUGUUGUCAUAAAUAUAAAACAAAAGUUAUCAACAAGAGUUGGGUUUAAUGGAAGGUGAUAGACUUCUAUAAUGUGAUAAAGUUGAAUUUCAAUUUUUACUAAAAUAGAUAUGUGUUUGACGCGUCUCGAAUACGAUAUCUAAAAUAAAGAAAAUUUAUUAAAAAAUAAAAAUAAUUUAUAAAAUAAAAGAUAAUUAAUUAUAACUAAAGUUUAUUUUUAUGGAACAAAUUCUUAUUACAGUUAAUUUAGAUCAUACAAUUAACUUUUGUAUUGCUUUGAAUAAAUUAGAUGAGAUCAACUACUAUUUUAAAAGACAUGACAUAGUUUAUUAGGAUUAAGAUUCGAGGUGCAAGAGUUUUAAGAGUCUCUACACCUAUUUUUUCUCUUUAUUUUUUCUCUUUAACAGCUAUAAAAUUUGUUGUAAACGUGACAUUGAAGCAUGUAAUCCAAAAUAAAAACGUUUUAAAUGUUUUUAUAUUUUUCUAUUUUACCAAAUAUUAAUUUUUAGCCUCUUAUUUUUAAAAUCAAGCUUUUUAUCUUCUAUUUUAUCAUUUGUAGUAUAUACUUUGCUCCCCGUUAUUUUUUUAUAAUGUUGUAUCUUCAUUAAUAAUGUGAUAGUAAUGCAUAUCACACAAUUUAAUUUGAUAAAAUUGAAUUUAUAUCAUUAAUCAAUAUUUAUUUUAUUAUUUUUUAUUUAAUAAAAUUUUAUGGACACAUUUGUAGCAACAAUACGAACAAAGAUUACCAAGAAUACAAGAAAAUUGCAAAGAAAAUUUAAUUGUGUCACAUAAUAUUUUUUAUAAUAAAAAAAGUUAAAGAAAUAGUACUUAAUCUAAAACAUAAAUACUUUUGAAUUCAUUGAACACUUACAAAAUCAUGACCAGAUAACUGGGGUUAGUUGUGUUACAUCAUUGAACAAAAUCUCAAAAUAUGGGGCCAAAAGCUCCAUUUUAGAAAUAAGAGAAUUAUCUUAGACAUCGUCCAAUGGAGAAAGAAAAGUAGAUAUGAAAAUUAGAGAAAAUUAGAGAAGGCACAGUAAAAGCAGAUGGAAUCCAAAUCUAAUACAUGUAUAAUAUUCUUUUUAUAACAACACUAAAUUAUUUCAGUUUACAAUUUUCAAAGUUUUAGCUAAAUGUGUAUUUUUUAUCAAGUGUAUGAUAAUUUUUAUGGUAUAUGAAUUAAUUUGAAAUGUAUCGGUCUGAUUUUUAAAUUAAUAGUUAAAUAUUUUUUUAGGAAAUAAUUAUUUCUUAUUAUUUAUGUGAUUAAAAUAACUAAAUAUUAUUUAUUAAAAAGAUACUUUAAAUAAAAUCCUUAUUUUAUUUUAUUUUAUUUUAUAAUCACAAGUUCAUUGUUCGUGUUAGCCACUAACUCCAUAACAAUCAUUUCAUAAAAUACGGUGAGAUGUAUAAUAUGAGUUGGGUCAACUGACCAUAUAAAUUUGUAUGAGGUUGUUUAUCCGCCAUUCGUAGUUGCUCACCCAUCUUAAAAUAUAGUAUUGGAAGUUUUGAUCUAGUAGUGUAUUUUAUUAUACAGCUACAAAAAUUAGCAAACAUAAAAGGCAUAAUGAACGAUCAUCAUUUUCUAUUAGGGUUAAUUGGUCUGGAACUAGAAAGAAAAUGUUGAUUUUGACUUUCUUUUUUACAAUGGGUCGGUCAAUUGCCCCAUUAUAGAUUUUGUAUAUUAUUAAAACAAAUGCAUAAACUACACUAAAAAAGUAAUGUGUAAUAAAAAAGAUAUAUAAAUAAAAUAUAUUAAUUAUAAUAACAUUACUAUAGUUGUUUGGUUCGCAUCUCAAGUGUUGAUUUUGAGUAAUGUAAAAUUAAUACUUGAACUAAUUAAUAAAUAUUGAACUUGAUUUGUUUCGUAUACUUUAGAUAUGAAAAAGUGAAUCAAUAUAAAUUGUUCGAAUUUAUUUAUUUUUGUUAAUUGAAUUAUUGAUUUAAUUCUUAUACCAUUAACAACAGCAGUAGGGAUUAGGAAUUAGAAAGAAAGGUGAAGGAGAAAUGCAAGAAAGAUAAAUAAGUGGAAUCUGCCACUUUUUAUUAUCUAUUUAAAGUAGAGAAGAAAAAAAAGAAAAAUGUUACUCAACAUUUCUCAUGAUAAUCAUCACAAUUUUAAAAAUUAUUGACUAAAAAAUAUUAUCACUUUUAGUUUUCAAUAUAAUUUUAAAUAUUUUUUUCUUCAAUUAUAUCCUAUAAUUAAUACUCCCUCUGACCACUUUAUUAAAAAAAUUAGUUAGAUAUAAUUAAUUUUCUAUAUUUUGUAUUAAAAAUAAUUUAAAUUUAUUAAAUUUUAAAUAUUUUUUUUAAUUAAAGUGAGGAUAUAUUAUAAAUACUAACAUUAAAUGAGGUAUUAUGUAUUAUGUAUAAUAAUGUUCGGAUGAAGUAUUGUGUAUCAAAAUGUUUUUUUACUUAUAAGUUAUAAGAAUGAUUAAAAUUUGAUGUCACUUUUUUACUUAUAAUAAUAAUGAUCCGAUGAAGUAUUAUAUAUUACAUUUAAAUUUUAAUAUUUAUGAUAAUCAAAAUACGCCCACACCCACGUUAAUAAUAGUAAUCAACUGAAGUCAUAAUUCAAUUAAUUGAAUUUAUCAAUUUUUCUUAAAUUGGGUUAAAAUGGUCAACCACAAUAGUUAUUUUAGAAUUUAGGAAUAUUUUAUUACUAAUUUAUCAUUUAUGUCAAUUUUACUCUUAAAUAAAAACAAAAAUAGAAAAACUAAAUUGAUGUAUUUAAUUUAAAUUAAAUACAUUAAUUUUAUUUAAUAUACUAUUAUUUAGAUUUUAGAUUUAAGAGAAUAAUAAAUAUUUAUCUUUUCUUUAAAUUUUUUAAUCUUUCUCUUAUAUAGAACAGUAUCUCAAUUAUCUUUCAAACAUAAUAGUGUUUGUAUCUUUUCCAUUUCUUUAUCCUGUGUUUGGAAUCAAUGAGUGUGCAAAGAAAGAAAACAUGAUUUUCUUAAAAUUUUCUACCUUUUGGGCAAAAUUGAUCACUAAGAGCGAACAAAAGUUUUCCAUUUCACAAUGCAAAAACUUCUAUAUGUCAUUUGGGAAGAAAGGAUUGAAAAGAGUUGAUAUUUAAUCAAAAUAACACUUUUGCUCUAAUAAAUAUUUACAGUUUCGGUACAUAAUCGUGUGAUGCGUUUGUGUUGAAAUUGAUUUAAUAUGUACAUUAAAUAAUAAUAUUUUUCUUUAACUAAUAAACAUUUUCUUUCAUUUUAUUAAGUAAAAAAAAAACCAUUUAAAACAUUUUACUUUCAUUUUAUUGAUAAAAUAAUUAUUGCUAAUUUAUUAAUAUUAGUAUUUAUUUUAAAAUUGUAAUGAUUUUUUUAUUCUCAUUAAUAUUUAUUAAAAAAUGCAUUUAUCUUAGACAUUGUUAUUUUCUUUUUUAUGUUUUUAUUUCCUUCAUCACAUCUUAUUUUUACCUAGAAAUAUUUAUGUAAUUUUUAAUACAUAUUAUUUAUUUCCUUUCAUUCUUCUCUCUUAAACCAAACUAUUAAAUUAAUGAUCUCAUAUUCUAUUCAUUUUCUUCUAACUUUCAUUUACACACCAAACAAAGCAGUAAUGUCACUUUCUUCUCCAUACCGAUCACAAAGAAUUACCUCCCAAAUCAGCUACCUCCCGAAGCAGAUGGGAAACUAAAUGAGUUGGUUUGGUUCGGUAGCAAAAAAAAUCAGAGGUCCGAAGCAAGAGUGGGUCCCUGAUGACCCCAGCUAAACAAACAGCGACCCAAUCUUGUCAGCCAACAACAGUAUCUAUCUCUUCUCGUGAGUCGUGACGCGUCAUUUUGGUCCACUAUGGCAACAAGGACGGUGAUUUAUUUUAUCAUUCCCCACCAACUAUAUAUCCCCCCUAAUACCAAUUUCUAAUUCCACCUCUGUAUAUUAUUUCACUUUCACACACCCACCCCCAACCCAUUUUCAUUUUUCUAACAUUUAUUUAAAUUAAAUAAUCUCCUCUCUUCUCUUCAUCUUUCUCUUCUUCUUACAAAGCUACCACCGUUUUUUGUUUUUACACAGCUUUACUUUUGACUAUUUCAUUACCCAAACCACCAUGGCAACUCAGGUUUUGAACCCUCACGACUAUUUCAUCAUACCUCAACCACCCUCCUUCUCCCGCCGCUGCAACUAUUACGGCUACAACAACCGUACCACGACCUCCAGGUCUCACCGGAAACAUGUUGCACGACCAGACCUGAGAAAACGGAACGAUAAGAGUUCCUUCCAACUAGAGACAGCGUCGGUCUCGAAGAGAUCCAGCGCCGAUGAUUCAGCGACUGGGAAGAGCAGCAGCUCGCCUGUGGAGAAGGUGACGAUUCUCCGGAGAGGCCAGUCGCUGGAUUCGUCGUUGGUAGCGGCGAAGAAUGACAUGUACGCUGGAUCUGCGUUCGCGAUGUCUCCGUCACCAAGCGCGCUUCCUCUGCCGUCUUUUAUGACAAAGAAGCAGUCGCUAGAGACGUUUGACGACUCCGCAACGCGAGAUCUGAGGCGUUUGCUCCGAAUUGAUUGACGUACAACAAGUUUGGUUCGGGUCGGGUCAAACCCGAAUAACAAUCCAUAUGUAGUUCCGCUUCCACCUCUUUCUCUCUUGUAGAAUCGUUUUCUCUCUCCCUCACUGGACUCCGUUACCGUAAAUCAGCUUUUAGUUUCAACUUCUGACCCGAUCGUGAUUUUUUUAAACGAAAAGGUUAGAUCUGAAAUUGGGGGUGAUUUGUUGUCUAAAUGGUUUCGAGUAGCAUAGAGCCAUGUUGUGCAGUUCUGCUUCAUUUUGUAAAACUUAUUAAAUGGUUAAAGUAUAAAUUAGGGUUGCUGUAAUAUCAGUUUAAAGUUAAUUCAUAAAAUUAUCCGCCGUGUUGGUGGUUGAUGCGUAUAUUACGAUGUUUGUCCUUGACUGUGUUAACUGUGUCACUGUAAUGGGAAAUUGUGAAUGGGAAACACUUGAUGCUUUUUGUUAUUCUUUUGUGCGAGCUCGUUCUACGUUCAAGUAUUUCUUUUCUUCUACUUUAAGAUUAAGAUUUAAUUUCUCCCUUGUUUAUAACCUAUUUGAGAAUUUUUAAAUAAAAAGCUGUAAAGAGAUGUGUCAAUUAAUUUAAUCAGGUCAUUCUAUAAAAAUCAUUUUUUCAGAUCAUUAUCCACCUAAUAAUAUAUUAAUAUGUACAUAUUUUUAUCAAUGAAAUUAUUUAUUAAAUAUUUUCAAAUUAAAUAUAAUUCCCUUAUGUCUUAAUUUAAAUCCCCAAUUAAAACUUCCAACUUCUCUAUGGUCAAUGAAAAAUAUUGAAUAGUAUUAAGUAGAUAAUGAUGUAUAAAAUUGAUUUUUAUGCCACUGUUCAAACAUUGACUAACGGGCAACUAACUGAGAUAUAAAACAAAAUUUAAUUAAAAACUUUAUAUUAGUUAUGGAACUUGAUUACAAAAGUUUUUAAUUUAGAGUCCUAUUUAAAAAUUUUCAAAUUAUUUGAAGAGAUGCAAGUAAUUAAACCUUACCAUAACAUUUAACUAAUAAAACAAUGAGACAAAUUCUGCGCGGACUUCCAAUUCCAGGUACUUGAAAAUUGUUAAAAAAACUUUUAACAACAAUCCUGUUACAUAGAGAAGAGUUUAUGGUCUCCUUCAUUUUAUUUGACAGGAAAUAGUCCCCUUGAUUCAUUUUCAUAGAUCCCAAAAUGAUUUGAUUGGUAUCCAGAUGGUUAUAUGAUAUUUUUGUGCCAUAUUUUAUUAUUAAAAGAUUGACGAUUGUUUAAUAAAAAUAAAUGAAAAAUAGAUGAGUCUCUCACAUCUAAACUCUCGUAAAAAAUUGAAGUAUUGGUCUCCGAUGAAUUAUAUGUUAUACUUGUGCAUCAAAAUAUUCACUUUAGUUUCUUUUAGAAGGUAACUCAUCAUAAGUUUAAUGUAACUUUUUGAUUGAAUUUGCUAUCUAGUUUUUGAAUUUGUAACUAUCAAUCAAUUUCGCCUUUGAAUUUUUUGAAAUAGUGAAACCGUCUCUUAAUUUACCUCACAUUUAUCAAUUAAGUCCCUCCUUCAAAUUUAGAUAUUCGAAAAGUUGACACACACUUAAAUACUAAUUAAUAUGACCGUUCGCAUCACAUUUUACAUAUAUAGGAGUAAAUUUAAUAUUGAAAUUUGAGAUCCUUCUAAAAUCUAAAGAAUUCAUAAAAAACACAUAUUUUCAAAAAAACCUAGAAAUUCAUGAAAAUUCAUCCUAUCAUCUUGCUUGGUAAAUAAAAUGAACCGCAAGGAAGUAACACUAUAAUACUACAUGAUAAAAUGAACAGCAAAUAAAUGAACCGCAAAUAAAUGAACAAGGACCAUGCAGAUUUUGGAGUAAUAUUACAUCUAGACUCAAUAAUUGCAUAUAUAUAUAAUAAUAGUAAUUAAUUGCAUUUAAUUUUCUUGAGUCCAGAAAAAAUGUCUGUUAAUAGUUAAUGAUAAUUUUUUUAAAGUUAAACAUUUAUUUAUAUAUUAUACUUAUUUUAAACAUAUAAAUAUAUCAAAUUGUUUUUUUAUACUAUAACUGAAUAUGACAUGACAGUUGACAAUAUUAAUUUUCGCAUAUAUAAAAUGGACUGAACAAAUUACGUAAACAACAAAUUAAACCUCAUGUCCCCAUAUAUAAAAGAAAUUAUAAAUUUAAUUAAAAGAAAAUGACGCAAAUUAUUUUAAAUGGAAGAACAUAUCUAUUGUGUUCAUGGUAUAAAACUUAAAUGUUAGUCUAUGUACUUAUACAAAAAUAGUCAUAAGUAAGAAUUACGGCAAGGAAUCGAGGUACAAAGCACUCUAAAUAAUCGGUCAUGGAGGGAGUGUAAUAGUUCAGAACGAAUUAUAUUUAUUACAUCGCUAUUUUUAUUUUUAUUUUAAUAUAGUGAGUGCUUGAAACAUUUUUCUAAUAAAAAACAUGAGAUGAGUUAUGUAACUAGACAAGACUCAAUAUAUUCUCAUUUAUUUCAAAUUAAUUAGUAUAUUGAUAACUUUUUUAUAAAAAAAUAAUCAAGAAAGAGUUCAAAAAUAUCAUUUGAUAAAUCAAAACAUCUCAACUAUAUUGACAUAUAUGACUUAUAUCUUUUAAAAUAUUAUUAAAAUAAGCAUAAAGAUACAAAAGAACUUAGGGAAACUAGACAAAAUCCAAACCAUAAUAAUCAAAGGAUAAAACUUAAUAAAAACUUUGUCAGAAAAAUCUAAAGGGAUAAAACGUGACAAGAGAAAAAGAGUACAAAGCAAAUAACAACAAAAGAAGAAUCCUUGACAAAUAUCAACAUCAAUUAAUAUGAAUUUAGUAAACCCCAAUAUAUUAUAAUUCAAAGAAUCUAAAAUGCAUAGUGGAGUAGAAACCAUCCAAAUCAAGUCAUUUUGUUGAAGGCCAAUAGAAGCAAUUUUAUCUGUAUAGUGGUUGUCCACUCUAAAAUUAUGAGAAAUGUAAAACUGCAUGUUCUUUGUAAGCUCCAUACAAUUCAACCAUCUAAUCCUUAGAUGCCAAAGAAUAAUACUAGAACUUUUGAAAUCCAUAAUAACUAGUUGAGAGCCAACCUCUAACCAAAGCCUAUUCCAAUUCUUCUUAUAACUAUCUUAAUAGCAUUCACCAACCCAUGUAACUCAACUUUGAAAGCAGUAGCGAUAUUCAAAUUGCCAACAAAUCCACCUAAAAAAUUAACAUUUGAGUCCCUCCACAAGCUUCAAGGCCUAAAAAACCAUUAUCAGUUACCAGUACCAUAUAUAUUACACUUGGCUUUGUUAAGGAUGGGGACUACUAUAAGUCUAUAACACUUCCUUAAUGCAAGGAGCAUUAGGCACAUGAACUUAAAUAAAGCUCACAAAUCCAAGAUUUAUUACAAAUCUCAAUCACAAUAUGCACAUUAUUAAUGUCCACCUGGAUAUAAAAAAUAUAAGUAAUCAAAUACUAAAGGUGCCCUGCAAAAUCACUUUCAAAAAACAAAUGCUUGUUAGAUUCUUCAUGCUUGUGGCACAAGCUACACAUGGAGACCAUGUUGCAACUUCGAGCCCUUAAAUUAUCAUCAGUAGGAACUUUGUUGUGGAACAACCUCCAAACCAAAAGAGAUUUUGAAGGAGGAAUAGAUGGAUUUAAAAUAAUCUUGGCCUAAUGUUGCUCAUUCAAGGGAGACUUUUGAAACAUGUAAGCAUCCUUAAAGUACAUUUCUCCAUUGGUGGAGUUCUUCCAAAUAAACUUGUCCUCAAUAAAGAAUUUUUAAAUGUGUACAUUUUGCAAAAAUAGAUAAAAACUCAGUGUUACUAUGCAAAAAAUAGUGAAGGAAUAAGAGAGAUAAACCACUUAUAAUCAAUAAUAAAUUUUUUUACCUUAGCAUUAAGCAGAUAAUGCCUUUCCUCGGGAAUACUGAAAAGAUUAGUCAUAACUACAUUGGGCCAUUUAUCAUGCCACAAAUUAAUGUGCUCACCAUUGCCCAUGCUCCUUGGUAAUGAAAAACUCAGUGCUUCAAACCAGUCCAAAUAGUAGAAAAAAUAUGACAAAAAUUAGAUCCUUUAUAUCUCAACACUUCAACCCUUAGAAGAAUGACCCAUUGGUAAUUUGAAGUUAUCAGCUCCCAACAUAGCUUGAGGGUGGCAGCCUCAUUGAUGUCCCCUUAUAUAUCUCAACCCAAAGCCUCAUCCUUGGUAGAAGUGCACACCUUAAGACAAACUACAGUAAUCAUCUUUUUUUUUUUUUAUGGUCAAUGUCACCAGACCACACAAAGUUUCUAAUCCAUCCCUCAAUGACAUUGAUAAGAGAUAUUGGGCAAUAAUAAAUAAAAAAGCUAUAGAUAAGCAUAUUAUGAAAAAGAAAGUAAACAAGCCUUCCAAGCUGCCAAUUUGACUUUGAUUAUUUUAAAACAAGCAUAAGGUGCACAACUUUUGGCUUAUAUUUAAAGAUAUGAAUAUGUGUUAUUUGGACACAAAAAUCCGACUCUGUAUAUACCACACACAAAUUUGGUGACAUCGAACAUCUAAAGGAGAGAGAAAAAACAUUAAAAAAGAAAAAAUCAAAACCAUAUAUAAUUAUAUAAGGAUGUCAAAAAAUCCGUCAAAAUAUAUUUUUCAUAUGAUAGUAGUAGAUACAACUAGUUACGUAUAAAAUAAAAUUAUUAUAAACACAACCAUCCAUAUUUCCUCUUUAUGUAUUAGGUCUUUCUUUUUCUGUCUUCUAGCUUUUAGUAGUUGGCAAGUAAUCAUUUAGGACUUAAGUAAUCAUUUAGGACUUAUUCAACAUGCAUGGUGGCACAGUACAUUAAACAAUAGUGCAAAUGGCCUUGCCCACUCAUUUGGCUAUUUUCAUUUAUAUCUUUAUUUGUAUUUGUCUCGAGCAAUGAUGUUUCAUCUGCAUCUCUACACCACUUGUGCUUCAGAGUACUUUCUCUAAUAUCAAAUAUAAAAGAAAUUUCUAUGGUACUUUUUUUUUUUUAAAGUGUAUUGAUAUUUUUAUUUUUUUAAUUAAUAAUUUGUUUUAUAUUUUUAUAUCAAUAUAUAUUAAGUUGAUCAAAUUAUUUAUAUCAAUAUAUAUAUAUAUAUAUAUAUAUAUAUGUAUAUAUUUUUAAUUUAAUUACUAUAAAUUUAAGUUUUCUUUUUUAUUUUAUUUUAAUUAAAAUUAAAACAUCGUUCUUUUCCGCCAUGCUUUCACUCUCUAUCAUUUUUCCACCAUCACUAGAAGAUCCCUCAUCUGUCUCACUCUCAUCUCGCUCGCGUUUGCGUCAUUGUCGUCUUGUGCCGUCGACCACUAAUCGCCGUCGUCGUUACCAGACCGUCUUUGAUUAUUAAUGAACUACAACAAAAAGAUAGACGAUGCAAAAUGAAGGAGAAAGAUUGUAAAGAACCGCGAAGGGAGACGACAAAGAACGGCAAAAAGACAGUGUGGGAUAAAACAAAAAUAUAAAAAUUCAAAAUUUGGUGGUGUUAAAUUUAAAAUAUAAUCAAACUUAUCGUAUACGAUACUCAUUAGAAUAUUAGUAAUUUAAUUUAAUAAUAUCAAAAUAUAUUAGUUUUUAAUUCUACCAUAAAAAUCACUUAAAAUAAAUAGAUCUAUUUAAUUUAAAUUUCAAAUUAAAUAUAUCAAUUUUUUUUCUUCUUAUCUUUUUCUUUUUAUAUUUGGGAUCCAAAAAUAAUCUAUUAAUACAAAUAUAUAUUUGUCUGCUUAUUAAAAAAAUAGUGCAAAUGGGUGUAAGGGAAAGUAAUUUUUUUUAAGAUAGUUGAAAUAUAAAUUUCGAAAGUCACCCUUAAUUAGCUGUCUGAAUUGAAUAAUCAAACUUAAUUAGACUUAAAUCGUAGUCCAAAAUUAGGAGUCGUCUAAGACAAAGUCUAUCCUUAUCUCUGUAAUUCCUUUACUAUAAAAUCAACAAUCACUCACAUAACAGAAAAAACACAAACAAGCAAAACAAAAACUAAAGCUAGAUUAUUAAGAUGGAUACAAAAAAUGAAAAUGAAACCACUCCUUCACGUUCACCCUUAUUAAACACAAACACAGAAACCACAACACCAACACAAACACCACAACCAACAACAACAAGUACCACACAAAAAAGUGGUACAGAUAGCAUUGGAAGCCUCAUAAAACUACUCCCAACAGGGACAGUUUUCUUGUUCCAAUUCCUAAACCCCGUUGUUACAAACAGUGGUCACUGCAAAACCAGCAACAAGUACCUAAGUUCAAUUCUUCUUGCAAUAUGCGGUUUCAAUUGCAUCUUUUCCACUUUCACAGAUAGCUACACAGGUACUGAUAACAAAAGACACUAUGGACUUGUAACACCCAAAGGAUUAUGGCCUUCAGAGGCUUCGAAUUCAAUCGAUUUAUCGAAGUAUAAGCUUAAAGUUAGUGACUUUGUUCAUGCUGUUCUAUCAUGGCUUAUUUUUGCAGUGUUGGGUCUUCUUGAUACAAACACUGUGCUAUGUUUUUACCCUUCUUUUAUGAAAACUCAGAAAACUGUUCUUCAAGUGUUGCCUGUAGCUAUUGGAGUUGUUGUUGGAUGGGUGUUUUCGGUUUUUCCACAACAAAGACAUGGAAUUGGUUACCCUCCUAGUACUGAUUCUACUGAAACAACCUCUACCAUAUCAUCCAAUGGAACUUCCCAAAUUCCAACCAAUAAUGUUUAAGAGAAUCAUCUUUCCAUUUUCUCUCUAUCAUGGCAAAAUUUAUUAUAUUAAGAAAGAAAAUAUUUUUUCUUAAUAUAAUGCUCUGUAGUUAGAAUUUAUUUUGUGUGACGGUGGUUUUUUAUUGUUUUAAAUUUAUUUAUGAACUUUGUGUUGGUGUGAAAAUUCUUGUGUAAUGCAACAUAAAUUUGUGCCACUGUAAAGUCGUAUUUGUGUGAAUAAUUCUUGAUUGAGUUUAUUGGUGGUACCAAGGCUGUUAAUUUUUUGAGAUUAUAAUUUAUAAAUACUUGAUUUUUUCAUACAAAAAUUGAUUGUUUUCUCACAAAAAGUCUCAAAUUGAACUUUUUGUUGUUGUUCAAAUGAACCUUCUUAGAUUAAGAAACAGCCAAAGAAACCUCAAUUUGAACUUUAGUUAGUUUGAACUUUGAAUCAACGACCGUGUGUAUAUUAUAUCUACGUGUAUGUAUAUUAAGACAAAAGUCUCUAAAAAAUAAUCACUCAUUAAUAUACAUCACAAUCAGCUUUCUUUCGUCGUCAUUUCAUUUUUCGUAAGUAACAUUGGAAUCUAUUGUAAUUAAUGGAAUAUAUUAUAAUUAAAUGAAAACUCCAUUUUUCAUUUAAAUAAAGACUGAUUUUUAAAGAGGAUUUAUAUGGUACAUUUGGAAAACCAACGGCCUUGGCACCAUUUGUUAUUUGAAUUAAUAUUUAAAUUGAUAAUCAAUUAUAAGACUUCUUUUAAAAUAGAAGCUAAAAUGAAUAAAUAUAAAGACUAAAAAUAUAUUUAAUUUUAUGAAUUAUUAUAACAUUGUACAUAAGAUAAAUAUUUGUUCCUAAAUGAUUAUCACAAAGUUUUUUAAGAAAUGAGUCACUAAAAGAGUGUUUAAUACAUACAUGGGAAAAAUAUUUUUCAUUAAUUAAUUAAUUAAAUUUAAUACUUUUUCAUAUCUUCUAAAUAAAAAUAAAAAUAAUUAAAAUAUACUACAUUCUUAAUCAUAAGCACCAUUUAAAAAAAAUUAUCUCUAACUAUAAGCACAUUUUUAGAGGGACUAUAAAUAUAUUCACACGACCAAAAACCUAUUUAAUGUUAUUUUAAUAUAUUCGCAUAAAAAUGAGAAUGAUUAUAUUAAUUCACACACGAGACUAUAUUUGUUAUUAAUUAAUUAGUUUAAUUUAAUAUUUUAUGAAUAUCGUAUAAAUAUAAAUAACAAUAUAUUAAUUAUAAAAAUCAUACACAUAAUAAAUAUUUUUCAUUAAAAAUUAGUUAAACUUAUUUUUGUUUUAAAUAUUAUCCACAUAGAAACGAUAUCAAUUAUAAUACACAUACUAUGGUCUACUUGAAUAAUUAACCAAUUCAAUCAAUUUAUAUAUAACAAUUAUUAUAUCAUUCAGUAAAAAAAUUAUAUAUCCUAAUAGUUUGUAUUUAACUAAUCAUUUUAUUCUUGUAAAAAAAAAACUAAUCAUUUUAUUAACUAUAAUUACAUUGGACUAAUAAAUUGAACCUAUGCGAAUUACAAUUUUAAAAUAUUAUAUUUGCAUCGAAUACAUCUCAUCAUAAUAUUAUAUAAGAUAUAUUAUAUUUAAAUGACAAAAUUGUCAUAGUAAAACGAUAACAUACUAUUUUUUUUUCCAAAUAACUAAAAAUAUUUUAAAUAUAUUAUAAAUUAAUAAAAAAUACUAAAAAAAUAAAUAAACAAUGAAAUAAUUUUGUAUUUAAAAAUCCAUUGACACUACUAAACAAAGAAUUUAAAGCUUUUAAAAAAUCACGAGUAACUAAGUAGUUAUAUUUAAUUUGUUAGAAAAGUAAAAUAAAAAUAUAAUAUAUAUUAUAUGUAAAUAGAAAAAAUACCAUUAUAAUAAAAUUAUAUUUAUUUACAAAAAUUUAGAUUAAUAUUGAUAGUUUUUUAAUUUUUUAAUAAUAAAUUAUUAGAUUAUAUAAAAUGAUGAAACUAUCUUUGUCAUAAAAUUAUUACAUAUUUUUUAAAAUCAAUUAUUUAUAUUUUACUUUUAAAUUUAAUAUCAAAUGCCAUUGUUUCUUAAUUUAUAUUUUAUUAGAUUUUAAUUUUAUACAUUUUAAAGUAUAUAUUUUAUAAAAAUAAUUGAGUAAAUUAUUAUUUUUUUGAAUCAUAUUUUUUCUAACUCAUUUCAUAUUCAAAAUAAAAAUUAUAACUAAAGAGGCAUGAUAUAAUAGUUUUUAAGAAUAACUUAUCUUAUUGUGUUAUUGUGUUAGUACAUCAAGAAAAAGACAUGAUAUGAUAUUUAUAUUAUUUCAUGUUUUUUAUCAUAUAUAUUAAAUGAACCAUUAAUACUGUGCACGAUACAUCUAUUAUUUAUUGAUAAUAAAUUAAAUUAUGAUAUACACAACCAUCCAUAUCUCCUCUUUAUGUAUUAGGUCUUUCUUUUUGUUUUGAGUUUUAUCUUUUAGUAGUUGAUAAGUAAUCAAUCCUUUUAGACAUAAGUAAUCGUUUAGGACUUAUUCAACAUGCAUGUCAAUGGCAUAGUGCAUAAGACAAUAGUGCAAAUGGCCAAAUGGGUGUAAAGAAAAGUAUUAUUUUUAAGGUAGUUGAGAUAUACAUUUCAAAAGUCCACUAUUAACUAGCAGCCUCAAAUCAUUAAUCUAACUUAAUUAGACUCAAAUCCAAGUCUAACUAAAUUAGGAGUCAUUUAAGACAAAGUCUCUUUACUCCUCUAUAAAAACAAACAAUCACAUAACAGAAAAACACAAACAAGCAAAACAAAAACUAUAGCUAGCUAGAUUCUCACCAACAGAAUCUCUUUAAUUAUUACUAAGAUGGAUAAAAAAAAUGAAACUGUUCCUUCACAUUCAUCCUUAAACAUAGAAACACCACCAACAACAACAAGUACCACCAACAAAAGUACAAAUGGCAUUGGAAGCCUCAUAAAACUACUUCCAACAGGAACAGUUUUCUUGUUCCAAUUCCUAAACCCUGUUGUUACAAACAGUGGUCAGUGCAAAGCAAUCAAUAAGUACCUAAGUUCAAUUCUUCUUGCAAUAUGCGGUUUCAAUUGCUUCUUUUCUACUUUCACAGAUAGCUACACAGGUACUGAUAACAAAAGACACUAUGGAUUUG
rnacentral:lncRNA from 1 species